ACAUCUCGCCCAGGGCGUGCCGCGGGUUCCGGCCGUUAAACCCCCUUUAACCCAGGG
rnacentral:rRNA from 1 species